rnacentral:lncRNA from 10 species
GACACUACUGCCUCUUCACAACACUGCAGAGUUAUUAAUAUUUUUUUAAAGCUCAGUCAGAUCAUGUCACUGUUCUGUUCGAAACCUCCCAGUGGCUUUCUCUUUCUCCCAGAUUAAAAGCCUGAGAAAGGAAGAGGCAGGCCCUGACAUCUGAGAGCUGGUCUGACACAGCUAGACUUCAGGGUUGUUAGAAGCUGGCCUGAUGCUCACAGCUUGGCCCAGUUAUUCUUCUGUGGGACAUAAUCUCACAGAACACCAACAUGAGACAAGGUCAGUCAGACUAUAAAAAAGGGACACAACAACAAGGCCAUUUCAAAAUUGUGUCUAAGCAGAGACAAGAGAGCAAGGUCACUGUGCAAGCCAUGAAAUACCAAACGUCCUUCUCUGCUAUUAUGAGUGACUGCUGCUUCUUUACUAGCACAGGUGUGUUCCUGAUGGUCUCUGGCUGGAGGGCAGGGACAGGCCAGAGUCCUUACAAUUGUCUACAAAGUCCCACAGUGGUUCUUGGACUUCAUCACCCAUCAGAAUCAUCUGGAAGAAUUGUUAAAAGAGAAUUGCUGGUCCCCAACCCCAGAGCCUGUGAUUGAAUAAAGCUGGGGUUGAGGUCUUAGCAUCUGCAUUUCUAACAACUCCCAGCACCUGAGGCUGCAGAUCUGGGGCUCACACUAGAAGACUCACUUCUCUAAACCACUUGUUCCCCCGUCUUAUUUCCCUGACUUAGCCUCCUUGUCUCCACUCCCAUCUUACUUCAUUCUACUCCAGCCACACUGGCCUCCUUGCUGUGUUGAGCCUCCCUGGGCACAUGCCUUAGGCUACUGCUUUGUCUGCACUCGGAUUCGUAACACUUACUCCCUCACCCCUCAGUGAGACCUACCCCAAUCUCCCUACCCUUUUCAGAAUUUAUUCUCCACAACACGUAAUCAACCUUCUGACAUGCUGAAUAAUUUACUUAUUACAUUUAUUGUUUUGCUCUCUCUCUGCUAAUAAAGGAAUGACACCCUUAAGACAUCAGCUAUCUGAGUGUAUUUUGUUCACGGCUGUAUCCUGAGACCUGGAAAAAUAGCUGGCAAGUAGUAGAUGCUCAACAAAAACUUUCUGAAUGAAUGUUCCUUCCAGCUUUUCAGCUUCUUCUCCUGAGUCAGGGCAGCACUCCCUUCAGAUCUUCCUAUAAAUACAAUCUCUCUCCUAUAUGUCCAACCUCUUGACAAUUACAAUAUCCAGCUCCUGGGACUUUUCGCUUCAGUGGCUCAGGCCAGGGAUACAGGGCAGGUAAGUCAGCCAUGGGCCAAGGAGAUCAAACAACGCCAGAAAAUUACUGUAUCCUGCAUCUCUUCUUCACCCACCUUCUCCAGAUGACCUUAUCCACCCAUCUCCCUCCUCUCUUGUUUUCCAACUAUUUGUUCACCUGGAUUUCUCCUCUCUUUGACCACCAACAUUGUUAUGGCACCCCUAAAAAAAAUAAAAAAAGCAACCACUCUCCCCGUGCUAAGCCACCCUCAUGCUGGGGCUGUCCUAUCUCCGCUUCUCCGGCAAGGCUCCUCCUGACUUUGUUUUUCCUUUCUACUCCCUGAAAUUUUGCUUCUGAAGUUCCAUUACCGCCUCCUUCCUAAAUUCAACUGCAAUUUUCGGUCUUGCUCUUUCCUGAUACACUGUGGAAUUUAAUACAUCUGUCUGGAAACUCUUCAAGAACACCGCGUGUUGCCUCUACCUCCUUUAGUGCUUCUACUCCGGUCCUUCCUAGUCUUCUCUUCAUAAGUGUCCCCAAGUUUCCUUCCAGGAAGAUGGGUCGUGGUUUCCUUGACGCCAAUGCGUUUCUGGCCGUGCCCUCGUCACUUGCCCACUCCGG